rnacentral:rRNA from 1 species
UACGAAGGGGGCUAGCGUUGCUCGGAAUCACUGGGCGUAAAGCGCACGUAGGCGGAUCUUUAAGUCAGGGGUGAAGUCCUGGAGCUCAACUCCAGAACUGCCUUUGAUACUGCAAAUCUCGAGUCCGAUAGAGGUGGGUGGAAUUCCUAGUGUAGAGGUGAAAUUCGUAGAUAUUAGGAAGAACACCGGUGGCGAAGGCGGCCCACUGGAUCGGUACUGACGCUGAGGUGCGAAAGCGUGGGGAGCAAACAGG